rnacentral:tRNA from 1 species
GCCUCCGUAGCUCACCGGAUAGAGCAGGUGCCUUCUAAGCACUUGGUAGCAGGUUCGAUUCCUGCCGGGGGCG